rnacentral:rRNA from 1 species
GACGAACGCUGGCGGCGUGCCUAAUACAUGCAAGUCGAGCGAAUCGAUAGGAGCUUGCUCCUGUUGGUUAGCGGCGGACGGGUGAGUAACACGUGGGCAACCUGCCUGUAAGACUGGGAUAACACCGGGAAACCGGUGCUAAUACCGGAUAAUCCUUUUUCUCUCAUGAGGAAAAGCUGAAAGUCGGUUUCGGCUGACACUUACAGAUGGGCCCGCGGCGCAUUAGCUAGUUGGUGAGGUAACGGCUCACCAAGGCGACGAUGCGUAGCCGACCUGAGAGGGUGAUCGGCCAAACUGGGACUGAGACACGGCCCAGACUCCUACGGGAGGCAGCAGUAGGGAAUCUUCCGCAAUGGACGAAAGUCUGACGGAGCAACGCCGCGUGAGCGAAGAAGGCCUUCGGGUCGUAAAGCUCUGUUGUCAGGGAAGAACAAGUAUCGGAGUAACUGCCGGUACCUUGACGGUACCUGACCAGAAAGCCACGGCUAACUACGUGCCAGCCGCCGCCGUAAAAC